GUGGCUCAGCGCUCCUGAUUGCUGGCAAAUGUCUCAAUAAAAUAGUAGUUUAUUAUGAUUUAUAAAAGGGACUUCUCCCUUGUAAUUGUUCAUUUUAAAAUUAAGCACAAGCUUUUCUUGCUCCUGGAAUAUUCUGCAUUAUGAGGUGGCAGAAGCUCACCAGCGAUGCUGAUCUGACAUCCCAGCAACCUGCCUGCAGCUCUCCUCCAGCAGCAGCGGGAGCUUCCUGGGGCUCUGCAGUCUGCACCUGGACUGACUCCCUGUAGCCAGAGUCUCGGUGUUCAUUGCCAGCAGAGAGUCCAGGCAGCUGCAUGAGCACAGAGAGCAAGGACUGCUGUGGGUGUUGGGCUGUCACACCAAGCUGAGCAGCCUGUGUUGCCUUUGCUGUGCCACAGCCCCAUCACACUGAUCAAGACCUAAAACUCUGUCCUCUAAUUUGGGUGAUGUGAGUGAGUUAACA
rnacentral:lncRNA from 1 species